CCUAAAGGCGUAAUGAAAGUAAAGGUCGUCCUUGUGUCGACUUAGAGAAGAUGAGUUGCAUUAUGAUGACAGCUCCGCACUCUCAGGGCGUUUCAUUUUCAUUUAUGAAAAGAGGCGCACCUAGAGCGUACACGUUGGGACCCGAAAGAUGGUGAACUAUGCCUGGUCAGGAUGAAGUCAGGGGAAACCCUGAUGGAGGUCCGUAGCGAUUCUGACGUGCAAAUCGAUCGUCGGAACUGGGUAUAGGGGCGAAAGACUAAUCGAACCAUCUAGUAGCUGGUUCCCUCCGAAGUUUCCCUUAGGAUAGCUGGCACUCAUUGAAACUUAUAACGAGUCUCAUCUGGUAAAGCGAAUGAUUAGAGGCCUUGGGGACGAAACGACCUCAACCUAUUCUCAAACUUUAAAUGGGUGAGAUCUCUGGCUUGCUUGAAUAUAAUGAAGCCAUGAGAUUUCGGAUCAGAGUGCCAAGUGG
rnacentral:rRNA from 1 species